GCCCCGCCCUAAGGUCUCCCGCAUCCGGAGUCUAGGUGCUGGGAUAGGGCCGCCAGCCGGACUCUGUGGGCUAGAAUGGGUCCCAGGGGACCAGAUGUGCCCCCGAGGCCUGACCCUGGGAAUUCCUCGGAGCCACCUGCAGAGAGGCCCCCGCGGGCUAGAAGUGGACCUGGACCCAGGCAGGGCGUCCUCCAGCUUCUGGGAGGUCUGGGCUGGCGCCCUUGCCAGGAGACUCUGUUGUGGGUCCUUGUGCCCACCUGCCCUGGUUGUGAACUGACCUGGCGCUCGCGAGUUACUGUUUCCACCCUCACCCCUGAGUCGGGAAGGGCCCUGCGCCCCCAGAAGCCUGCCUCUGUGUUUGAGUUCUUGCCACUUUGUGUCCAUUCUCUCAUCAGCACUGCCAGGGAAACUGAGACCCAGACGAAGUGGGAUUUGCCCAUCCUGAUGCCAGCCCAUGAUUCUGGGCCCAGGCAGGGCUCUCACCCCCAGGGAGACCAGGGGCCCUGGUUCCAGGAGCAAUUUGCAGGGGUUGUGGAUGUGGGCAGCCUAGGCCCUGUGUGAUGUCUUCAUGUCCACUUACCAGAUCUUUGAACUACCUGUCACCUUAGGACUGUAGGUACGAUUGCAGAAACAUCUUUUGUUUGCUUAUCCUUUUUGUGUCGCGACCCGUCUGGCCCUGGCCCAGGUGUCAGUGUGGCAGCUCCUGGGCUCCAGGUGUGGCCCCACCCCCACCCCCACACACCUGGUCUCUGGCCUGAGCUGUCCCACCUGACCCUGUGAGACGCCCCCGCUGAGUUACAAGUUGCAGUGGCCACGUGGGCUCGCCCAGCUCCUGCCAAGGAGAAUGGGGCCUUCAUGGCAGCUUAAUGGGGCCCAGACCUUCACAGGAUCCCUGGGCCUGCCCUGAGGGUGCUGUGGCACAGACCCCCUCCACCCUUCCAGGGUCUCAGGGACAUGGCCUUGGACAGAGUCCCUCCUCCCCCAACCCCCACCGCUGUCCAGUCCUCUGGAGGGAGACCACUGUCUGGCCGUCCUUGGGGGGAGUGGUCGAGAGCGUAGGGUUGAGGAGUCUGCCACAGGGAGCCGGAAGGUGGGGGGCCUCCUUUGCCCUUGCCUGUUCCUCAGACAGGGUUUUGUAUGAGAAAGAGGUGUUUAAGGACCUCAGGGGCCUCAGGACUCUCCUAGAAGCUUUUCUAAAGAGGCCAGGCUCAGCCUGUUCAGGAAAGGAGACUGUGCUGUGCUGCGACCAAGUUCUCAUGCUGUAGAUUCUCACAACCACCACGGGCCAGGUCUGCCAGCAGUUUGUAGUGUUGCAGUAGUGCACACGGAGUCCCUGAUGGAAAAAGUCUGUAUAUAACCUGCUGUUCAUGGCUUUGUGUUGAGAAAAACCAGGAAGAGUCCCCGUAGCAUCUCUUCACCGACACAAAGCCCAUCGAGAUCUGCGUUCCGUAAAUCACACACACAGGAUGGCGCGUGGUUUCUCUACACGGUGCGACUGCUUUGACCAACCCUGUGAGCACGAAAUUCACCCAUUAUCUGCCCAUUAGUGAGCCCAACAGACUGCUCCCAGCCCAGCCUCACUGCUCAGCCACAGCCAUCGAUCACAUCCCCAGGAAGGCACACACUCUGUCCACUCCCCGCGGAGAGUUCGUCUAGAGCAGGAUGGGUCCUGGCGCACCGGGGCCCCAGGGGCCACAGCCCAGCUGGUCCGGCAUCUCUAGCUGCCUUAACAACUCACCUGGACCGCUGGACCCGGAUCCGAUUCCCAGCUGCGGAGCCAGAGGCUGAGUCAGGGAAAGUGACUCAGGGGCACCCCACUCAACACCAGAGACAGUAAACCGCCUGGUGAUGCAUCUGUUUGACAAAUGUCUCAUGGCUCAGCUGUUGGCUGGUGUUUUCUGUGGUGGGCAGGCAGUUUGUUGAACAGCACAGGGCCAACCACAGCCAUAAGGGAACCGAAGUUCCAGGUCGGAAACCUCCCUGGCAGAAUCUCACGCGGCAGCGCUCGAGAGAGGUCUGCUGUCUCCUCUGUGGACACGGUGUUAUAAACCCUCGUGCUGUGGAUACAUUUCAUAAAUGAGAAUCCUAGCUGUCCUUGUCAUUGUAAAACAGAAUGUAAACAAAGUCUUAUGAAUGUAUUUCCUUAGGAAAACUGUUGUAAAAUUUUUUAUUAGAAAAGAAUUCCUAUUUAUUUAAUACUGAACCUUGGCCUACUUUAUGGUAGACGAAGGAACAUGACUGUAGGAGUCGCUAUUUCUCACUUCUGUAUUUUCUUGAAAAUAAUUUGGUUACAGUGCUUCUAUACCGUGUACUAGUGGUCUUCUAUUGUGAAAGGAGAUUUAAAGAAUUUCUUUGAAGCUGGAAAUGUAUGUUAAUUAGGAGUGGUGAAAAUUGUGUAUGUUAAUUUUGUGAAUGUAAAUUAAGUCGAAUUUUGUGUAACCCUGAUCACAGAACGAUGUGCCUUACAGCGAGCGCUGCCCCGGACGUGUUGGGCAGGGGCCCCAUCACAGACCCUGUCAAGCCUGCAUGAUCAAGUCUAUUAAAAAUGUUUCAAGGCACUUUGGGCACAAACUUUGUUCAUAAAUGAGAAAUCAUAUCGAGGAGAAUUUAAGGAGCAGUUUCUGCAGGCAAACACUGCUCUGGCACUAAAAUGAACGUCGACAACAGUUGCGUGCGGGCGCGUGCCCGUGGGUCAGAGGCAGCCCCUCUGGCUGGUGCAAGGAGGUUGUUGGACAACGCGAAUUCUGGCCCACCCAGGCCUCUGAGAACUGGUUCUUCCCAGAGACACGGAGACACCACCGCUCACUUGCUUACUCAAACUCGUCACUGCACACGGGGCAGGUGCCCAGAAAGGGCAGAACAGUACCCACCCAGCCAGAGUCGGGGGAGGAAGCACCUGAGACAUUAAAGAAGAGGGGUGGCCCAGGGCUGAAAAGAGGUGAGCAGGGACAGCAGGGUCCAGAGCCUGGAGGCAAGGAGGGUCUCUGAAGGGUCACCAUGAGGCUGAUGGCGGCGGCAGAAGUGCAGGGAGACCCAUGAGAUGGAGCUGUGCACCUGUCCCUGAAUGUCCUGGGGAAUCCUGUCCCCGCCCCCCAGGUGGAUCUCACCCUCUCAGGUGGCUCCUGCCUCGCCCUCCACCAGGUGGAGCCCCUCCCCGGUGGAUUUCAUCCCCCCAGGUGGAUCUCACCCCCCCAGGUGGCUCCUGCCUCGUCCCCCACCAGGUGGGGCCCCUCCCAGAUGGCUCUUGCCUCCCCCUCCACCAGGGGGAGCCCCUCCCAGGUGGAUCUCACCCACCCAGGUGGCUCCUGCCUCCCCCCACCAGGUGGGGCCCCUCUCAGGUGGAUCUCACCCACCCAGGUGGCUCCUGCCUCCCCCUCCUACCAGGUGAAGCCCCCACCCCCCAGGUGGCUCCUGCCUCACCCCCCACCAGGUGGAGCCCUCCCAGGUGGAUCCUGCCUCCCCCUCCACCAGGUGGAGCCCCUCCCAGGCAGAUCCUGCCUCCCCCUCCACUAGGUGGAGGCCCUCCCAGGUGGAUCUCACCCCCCCCAGAUGGCUCCUGCCUUGCCCCCCACCAGGUGGAGCCCCUCCCAGGUGGAUC